rnacentral:rRNA from 1 species
CCUACGGGAGGCAGCAGUGGGGAAUAUUGCACAAUGGGCGCAAGCCUGAUGCAGCCAUGCCGCGUGUGUGAAGAAGGCCUUCGGGUUGUAAAGCACUUUCAGCGGGGAGGAAGGCGUUAAGGUUAAUAACCUUGGCGAUUGACGUUACCCGCGGAAGAAGCACCGGCUAACUCCGUGCCAGCAGCCGCGGUAAUACGGAGGGUGCAAGCGUUAAUCGGAAUUACUGGGCGUAAAGCGCACGCAGGCGGUCUGUCAAGUCGGAUGUGAAAUCCCCGGGCUCAACCUGGGAACUGCAUUCGAAACUGGCAGGCUAGAGUCUUGUAGAGGGGGGUAGAAUUCCAGGUGUAGCGGUGAAAUGCGUAGAGAUCUGGAGGAAUACCGGUGGCGAAGGCGGCCCCCUGGACAAAGACUGACGCUCAGGUGCGAAAGCGUGGGGAGCAAACAGGAUUAGAUACCCGAGUAGUC